rfam:Gossypium raimondii Chr06_contig_1311, whole genome shotgun sequence.
UGUUAAAAAUUAUCAUUUUUAUUGUUAAAAACUAACAUGGAUGAUAGAAUAAUCAAACUAGUUGUACAUGUACCUAAUUCUAACAUGCAAAAAUUAAUUUUUAACAAUAAAAGUGGAUGAAAUUUUUAAUU